rnacentral:rRNA from 1 species
GUAGGUGGCAAGCGUUGUCCGGGAUUAUUGGGCGUAAAGCGCGCGCAGGCGGUUCUUUAAGUCUGAUGUGAAAGCCCACGGCUCAACCGUGGAGGGUCAUUGGAAACUGGAGAACUUGAGUACAGAAGAGGAAAGCGGGAUUCCACGUGUAGCGGUGAAAUGCGUAGAGAUGUGGAGGAACACCAGUGGCGAAGGCGGCUUUCUGGUCUGUAACUGACGCUGAGGCGCGAAAGCGUGGGGAGCAAACAGGAUUAGAUACCCCGGUAGUCCACGCCGUAAACGAUGAGUGCUAAGUGUUAGGGGGUUUCCGCCCCCUUAGUGCUGCAGCUAACGCAUUAAGCACUCCGCCUGGGGAGUACGGCCGCAAGGCUG